UACGUAGGGGGCGAGCGUUGUCCGGAAUCAUUGGGCGUAAAGAGCGUGUAGGCGGACUGGAAGGUCAGGUGUGAAAGCCCCGGGCUCAACCUGGGAAUUGCAUUUGAGACUGAAUAGCUAGGGUGCGGAAGAGGGAAGCGGAAUUUCCGGUGUAGCGGUGAAAUGCGUAGAUAUCGGAAGGAACACCAGUGGCGAAAGCGGCUUCCUGGUCCAGCACAGACGUUCAGGCACGAAAGCGUGGGGAGCAAACAGG
rnacentral:rRNA from 1 species